AUGCACGCUGCUUCACCCCCCUCCUGCUUUACCCCCGCGGGCCGCCAUUCGCUGAGCGCCCAGCCCGCCUCCCCGGCCUCUCACUGCCGGCCCUGCGCAUGUGUUGUAGGAGGGGGAGCGUUACCUAUACAAAUAACACAUUUUAAGAAGUCAAGCCUCAAGGAACUGUUAGGUGGAAAUAUUGUUGCUGGUUUUCUCUACUGAAACUUUUGAAAUAGAAGAAUUUUAGAUGUGCCAUGAUCAAGAGAAGAAUUAGACCAGUUCAAUGUCCUUCUAAUUUGUGGUGACAGUUUUCCAAAUUUGCUGUGGUUUUGUUCAGAAUUUCUGCUUUGAGCACCUCAAACAGUGCACUGUUGGAUAUUGUAGCAACUCUCACAUUUUUCUUCAACGUUUUUCAAGAAAUCUUUGUCAUAUUUCCUUUGGAAGACUUAAAUAUUGCUUGAAAAAAUGGCAAUACUGGGAAAAAAAACACACACACACACACAAAAAAAAACCAACAAAACAAACAAAAAAAAAACAACCACCAAAACCACAAAAGACACAUUUUUAGCUUUUGACCUAUAGAUAUCUACGAAUCUUUAGUGUAAAGGUUCUGGACAUGUCUUCCAAAAGUUAAUAUUUUGAUAUUCCCAUCCUUUUUACCCUCCCUAAACAGUGUAUUCCAAAAGUUUUUAGUAUUAUCUUCAUAAAUCAGAAUUUCAGGAGGGUUUCAUAGUGACAAUACGGUGAGCAUGUUAUAAACAGACCUAUCUUGAAGCACAACAAUAAACUAUUAUUACAUUCUUCGGAAUGGUUUUGA
rnacentral:lncRNA from 1 species